GAUGAACGCUAGCUACAGGCUUAACACAUGCAAGUCGAGGGGAAACGAUAGAGAAAGCUUGCUUUUUCUAGGCGUCGACCGGCGCACGGGUGAGUAACGCGUAUCCAACCUGCCCAUCACUUGGGGAUAACCUUGCGAAAGUAAGACUAAUACCCAAUGACGUCCAUAGAAGCCACCUGAAAGGGAUUAAAGAUUUAUCGGUGAUGGAGGGGGAUGCGUCUGAUUCGCUUGUUGGCGGGGUAACGGCCCACCAAGGCGACGAUCAGUAGGGGUUCUGAGAGGAAGGUACCCAACAUUGGAACUGAGACACGGUCCAAACCCCUACGGGAGGCAGCAGUGAGGAAUAUUGGUCAAUGGGCGAGAGCCUGAACCAGCCAAGUAGCGUGCAGGAUGACGGCCCUAUGGGUUGUAAACUGCUUUUAUAAGGGAAUAAAGUGAGCCUCGUGAGGCUUUUUGCAUGUACCUUAUGAAUAAGGACCGGCUAAUUCCGUGCCAGCCGCCGCCGUAA
rnacentral:rRNA from 1 species